rnacentral:rRNA from 1 species
AUGCACUGGUUCGCAUGGUGGAAGAUGUGCGUGCCAAAGAGCAAUGGAGGUAUGGGUUUCAGAGAUGUUCACUGUUUUAACUUGGUCCUCCUAGCUAAACAGUACCGGAGAUUGUUAGCAGAACUAGACUCCUUGUGUGCCAGAGUAUUGAGGGCAAAAUAUUUCCCGGACGAAGACCUACUGAAUUGCCCCCUCAAGAAAGGGAGUUCUUACACUUGGCAGAGCUUGUGGAGUGGUGUUCAGACCUUCAAAAAAGGAUACAUAUGGAGAGUGGGAGAUGGCACACAAAUAAACAUAUGGGAUGAUCCUUGGGUGGCUAGCAGCCCAAACAGGAAGGUAAUGACUCCACGAGGUAAUAUCAUUCUCACUAAAGUUUCUGAGUUGAUUGACAUGGAGAAUCGGUGCUGGGAUGAAGAACUUAUCAGACAUAUCUUUUGGCCCAUUGACGCAAAUCGUAUUCUGAAUAUACCCCUUGCAACGGGUAUGAUAGAGGAUUUUGUUUCAUGGCACUAUAAUAAAACUGGAAUUUUUUCGGUC